CGUGCAUAGAUAGAGUGACACUUAGAGGUUGAUAUGAUGAACAACAGGCCGCCUUCAAAUGUGGAGGUGCAACGUUUGUCCCUUACGACUUUCUGUUGAACGCUGCCAUCAUGUCGGCCCCCUUCAUGUCUCUACAAAGAUGUUGCCAGCGGUCGGCUCUCCUCAUUGUUGCCCGACGACAGUGGAGCUCCAGCUCAGUGUCUCCCCCUCCCCUGCACACCAGGCUCCUCCUCUUCCUCACCCAGCGCUUCUAUGAUGUAGAGAUGCUCCUGAGCUGGGGGUCUCAGCUGAGAACGAG